GUGCGCUCGCUGCCCAGGUCGCCUGUGGGGAGGGGCACGGGCGGUGGUCACCUGCGGGGAGAGGCACGGGCGGUGGUCGCCUUUGGGGUCCGCCAGGGCUGUCCUGUGUGAGCAGGUGAGGAGAGCUCCGCGAGCCUGCAGACCCCGGGCGGGAGCUCAGGGCCCCUCCCCCGGCCGGGCUCAGCGACUUCCAGGAGCGCUGGAACCGCACCUAGUAGUUUGUUCAACCCCCCGCAAGCAUUCGUGGGGCCCCUGUGUAUGCCGGACACCGUGCUGGGAGCUGCGUCUUCUGAAGGCGGUUUAGGGCCAUGGAGCGGCUGCAGGGCCCCCCACCCCGUUCUGUUGCAUGCUCUUGGAUUAGGAAAAGACAACCUGUCCACGUGCUUUCCAACAGCUGUCUGAACUGGACUCCGGCCCCUCUGCCCCCGACCACUCUUAGCUGGCCAGGUAGUCCCCUUAGCAAAGGAACAGUUUGGAUGAUUUCCCUUGGCUAUUUUCAAGGACUUUGUCAUGAGGCCUGAGGCGGCUGCCUGGGAUAAAUGAUGCCUCAAAGUAAUGAGAUGAUGAAUAGCACGAUGGUUAUUAGGGGCCAGGGGUAUGCUAGACGCCCAGCAGAGCGCGAGACUCCAACACUGGAAGAUAGAGGAGCAUGGGGGAGGUGGGUUUGGAAGGGGAGUCUGUCCAGUGUGCUGCUGGGUGUGUCCUGAGGGCAGGAGGGACUGGAGGGGCAGGCCAGGGCAGGCAGCCAGACUUUCGGGCCUGCUCCCUGUGCUGAUGGCUGAAGUCUUAGAGUUGGGAAGAGUUGUUGCGUUGCUUGUGAGCCCUUUCAGAGCCUCUGGUGGAGGGGAGGACAGUCAGGCUGUGGUGGCAAUGAGACAGGAGUGAAGGCUCAGCAGGGCCAGGGUGCUGGGGACCCUGGGGGGCUUAGGUGAUGGGGGAGCUUGCUGAGGCCCUUCUAUGCCAGCAUAUUCUCCUCUGGGGCUUUAGGCCCUUGCCUGGGUUGCUGUAGAGACAAGUGUGGUUCUGAGUGGUCCGGAGGGGUGUGUGUGCUGGAGAGGAGCCGGGAGGACUAGGGAGUGAAAGCUGCCCUGAUCAGAGUCUAGGUCCCAGGGACUGAACUGGGAGGAGUGGAGAGAGGAGGGGGGUCAGAGGGAGGGGCGAGUGUGUUUGCAGCCACACCAAGUCACCAUCUGUCCCCCGUUGGCCUGCUAGCUCACUGACCUAUAAUUAGCUCUGGAGGGCAUAUGGGGCUGGCUCACAGGAGCUUGGCACCUUGAGUGGCCGGCCUAGUGAAAGGUGCUCAGAGGGGCCGUGGUGCUCGGCGGACCCUGGGAGGCUAAUUCCAGGGGACUCUCAGCCUUUGCUGUACUGGAAGGGACUGUGGGAAAUGAGGAUGUCUUGAGGUGCAGGACAUGUCCCUGGUGGGGGACAUGGCAGUAGGGGAGGAGCUCUGGGCUCAGGUGGUGUGAAACUCCAGGCCCGGCAGAGCCUGAGCACUCCUCUCUCCUUGCCUUGCCGCUGGCUCAGCUGUCACGAGAAGUAUGAUUGCCACCUGCCUCUGGCUCGUUGCUCUGCUGUCGGAGCUGUAGCCACCGCCUGCCUCCCGUGUCUUCUGUUUGCCCAGGUGAAGUCACCGCUAGCACAGGGCAGCUUCUUGCCUGUCAGUCAGGGGCUGAGAGCCCUUGGCUGGGGCUGCUUCAUUCUCAGGGAGCUGGAGGAGAAACUACCUCCAAUUAGUUCAACUGGUUGUGCUCCAAGUGGUGGUCAGCGCAGACCCCCAGGCUGUGCUGGGACUGAAUAUUUGGUCACAUGCUACUCUGUAUUGCUCUGGACUGUACUUACGCAUCUGUGUUCUCUCAAGUAGACUGUGAACUUCUUAAGGACUGAGACCGUAUCUUACAUGCCUUUUGCAUCUGUAACAGUUUCUAGCUCAGUAUUGGAUUCAUGGAAAUCUACUCAAUGAGUAAUUGUUGCAUUGAAUUGAAGAGGUCUGUCUUCUGAUUCCCUGGGUUCAGUGAAGCAGGGUCUGCUUACAACUAGAAGUGUUUAACCCGGAGCCGAGGAGCCUCUGGGGACCCAGUACAGUGGUGUUACAUCUCAGUGGGGAAUUAGAUUCUGUAGGCAGUAGGUAAAGUGAAAAUCCCUAAAUCUCCCAUAAAGCAUGGUAUAUGGGUUUAGGUUUAUAACUCUGAACAAUAGCGUUAAUGUACAGAUAUAGUAUAUGUUAUAUACCUUGUAUAUUAAUUAUAUAAAUAUAUAAUGUGUGCAGUGAUUUUAAAGAAUACUUAUGUACAAUAUAAUUUUGUAUUUAAGUGUCAGAUGCAUUUGAAGGCCUUUACUGCUUAUUUUGCCCAGCCAACAGAGUUGAAUUCUUCUAAAUUAAAAGCAUAUCUGAUGUGACUUCAUGGCCAUUGUCUUCCGAUGGAUAACUGUCAUUUCAAAGAGGAGAUGGGUUUCCAUUCAAUUUAAGAAAAAGCUUCCUUAGGACAAUGAGGGCUUCCUCGUUUCUAGUGAGCUCCUUGUUCCAGAAGGAUAGUCAAGUAAAGACUGAGCUGUCGGGGGUGUGUGGAAGGACUCCCACACAGAGUGGCAGUUUGGCCUGCGUGACCUCAGAGGACCCAUCCAAGCAGGAAUCUGCAGUUCCAGGUAAUGGGUGGGGGUGGGGGUGGGCGCUGGAUGGUGGAGGUCUUUGGCAGCUGCUACAGAAGAGGACUCUCCUGAGUUUGGCUUAGAGGAGAGAUGCUGAGAGCGGAGGGCCUGGGGAGUGGGGCCAGGCUGGGAAUUGGUCUGGGCUAUUCCAUGAGUAGUGGACAUUCUGGAAGAUCCAGGGGGUGGCCACUGCCGUCUGUAAUGCACAUGGAGCCCUGGGCUCAGGAGACCCUGCAGCGCAGGUCUGGUGGGGGCGUAAGUAGAAGAGUGGGCUUGGCCCAGUUCCCUGACCCAGCUCACACUGGGCCGCUUGUGGAGUGCCCACAGCUUUUGGCCCUCGUUCGGGCAGAGCAUCUGGACCAAGUUUCAUUCUUUCAUUAUCAUUCCUGUCCUUCCCUGCUCUUCCUGUUACACGUGUCCCACAGGUUCAAGACCACAUGUGCUCUUAGACUCUCUCAUGACCAGCAGUGUGCUUUCAUGAUCACACACGUGCACGCACCCUAAUGGGGCCCACAUGCUCUUAUGAACCUAUGUGAUUUCAUGACUCCCCGAUGUGUGUGCUUGUAUGGCCACACACACUCACUCUCGUGACUGAACACACACACACACACACACACACACGCAUUCCCAUGGUCACAGUCGUACCAUCGUGAGCCCUGACACACUCAUGACCACACAUGUCCAUACACAGUCUUACCCCUGUACACACCCGCUCACUGUCUCUCAGGCCCCUGUUCUCGUGACUGUGCCUGCACAUGCACAUACCCCACAAUGUGUAACCAUGUACACAUGCACACUUUUUGUGAUGCCUGCAUUUCUCUGGGCGGUUUCGCACCCUGGCACCUGACAGCACUGCCCUCUGUGUCCCCGACUCCUCCUGGGCGGUUCUGUUUGCUCCUGUGUGAUGGCUCCCUUGCUUGAUGCACUGAUCUCCUGAUGCAGAGACUCGUCAGUGUUUUUUUUCCAACACCAGAGGAUCUAUAUUUGUUCCACGGGAACCGCUAGAUUUGAAAGAUUUUUAUUCUCCAAAUACACCACACUUAUUACUUUAUUUCUUCUUUUGAAAUCAUUCUUUGAGGGCAUCCUUGAGUAUUAAUCAAUGGCUCUGAUUAGCAGAAGGUGGCUGGGGUUACCGCACUUAGUGACGCAAGUCCUGCCGAAGCUGUGUGCUGUGUUCAGUGGUGCCGCCUUUGAUCUUUUCUGGUGUAAAUAUAUGAUUUAUAUUCGACGUUUAGAAUGUGGAACACAGCUGGUGGCCCCCAGUGCCACCUGGUAGCCCCCAGGUUUACCGUGCUGUGCAUGGAUGUGCUGCCUCUCUGAGAGAACGUGUUUCUUUUUGCAGGGCCUUCUGCGGACAGUGCUUAAGCCAGGGAUUUUCUCACCUUGUUUUAGACUCGGAACCCUUCUAUACAAUGAAAUCUUAAUCAGAUGUCUAGUAAAGUGAGGAUGACCAUACAGCCAGGCGUGUCUGGGACGGCCCCAGUUGACACCUGUUCCUGGUGUGAUUGUUAACCCGUGUCUAUUCGCGCCCAAGAAGGUCCUGGUUUGGACAGUAAGGAGUGUGCUCACCAGGUGGUGGGCUGUGUCUUGGGAAGAGGUGGCCCAUAACUAACUCCUGGGGAGCAGCUGGAGAGAUGGGCUUCACAGCGACAGGCCCGGGAGCCUGUUGGAAGGAGACGCCCCUGCCUGUGUCUGACUGCGUGUGCCGGGCACUGGGAAGUUGAGUGCCUGGGCUGGCAGCUGGUGCUGAUCUGUGAGACCACUGCCCUCCAGAAAUGAUGGGUGUCGCUGGACCCGGCUGGGACUCUGCCAGGCUCCAGCGCUCAGUCUAAACGAGGGGCCCUCUUCUGGCCCUGCUCUCCCUGCCUGUCAUGGCCACACUUGGCUGCUGCCCGCUUGUCUGUGGACAGAGGGCACCCAGCCCCAGCCCUGAGAGGUUAAGCCAGGCCCUCUGGCUCUGUUCCACAGGGGCGCUCUGGGCACCAGGCCCCUUUCAGAGCAAGAGCAACUGAUGCCAUGGGAGAAGCCCCUGCCCACCUGUCCACUUGCCUGGCACUGCCUGCUCUGAGACCCAUGCACUGGGUCCCCCUGAAUGUGCCAACCCUGUGAGCCCCUCCCCUCUCCCCUGACACCGUGAAGGCCCUGCCCACUCCCACCAUGUGUGAGGUGAUGCCCACAAUCAACGAGGGGGACCCCCUGGGCCCCCCCCAUGGCGCCGAUGCUGACGCCAACUUUGAGCAGCUGAUGGUGAACAUGCUGGAUGAGCGGGAGAAGUUGCUGGAGUCCCUUCGGGAGAGUCAGGAGAGCUUGGCGGCCACGCAGAGCCGGCUCCAGGAUGCCCUGCAUGAGCGGGACCAGCUCCAGCGCCACCUUAACUCCGCCCUCCCCCAGGAAUUUGCCACCUUAACCCGGGAGCUGAGCACAUGUCGGGAGCAGCUUCUUGAGCGGGAGGAAGAGAUAUCAGAGCUGAAAGCCGAGCGGAAUAACACAAGGUUGCUUCUGGAACAUCUGGAGUGCCUGGUGUCCCGCCAUGAGCGGUCACUGCGGAUGACUGUGGUGAAGCGCCAGGCCCAGUCACCUUCAGGGGUCUCCAGUGAGGUGGAGGUGCUGAAGGCCCUCAAGUCACUGUUCGAGCACCACAAAGCCCUGGAUGAGAAGGUGCGAGAGCGGCUCCGGGCAGCCCUGGAACGAGUUACGUCCUUGGAAGAGCAGCUGGCAGGUGCCCAUCAGCAGGUGUCUGCCCUGCAGCAGGGGGCAGGGCUGCAGGAUGGAUUGGCAGAAGAGGAGGGGACUGUGGAACUGGGACCAAAGCACCUGUGGAAGGAGGAUGUGGGCCGGGUGGAGGAGCUGCAGGAGCUCCUGGAGAAGCAGAACUUUGAGCUGAGCCAGGCCCGGGAGCGACUGGUCACCCUGACAGCAGCCGUGGCUGAACUUGAGGAGGACCUGGGCACGGCCCGCCGGGACCUCAUCAAGUCGGAGGAGCUGAGCGGCAAGCAUCAGCGGGACCUCCGAGAGGCUCUGGCCCAGAAGGAGGACAUGGAGGAGCGGAUCACCACGCUGGAGAAGCGCUACCUGGCUGCUCAGCGUGAGGCCACAUCCAUCCAUGACCUCAAUGACAAACUGGAGAAUGAGCUGGCCAAUAAGGAGUCCCUGCACCGCCAGUGUGAGGAGAAGGCCCGACACCUCCAGGAGCUGCUCGAGGUGGCAGAGCAGAAGCUGCAGCAGACGAUGCGCAAGGCUGAGACGCUGCCAGAGGUGGAGGCUGAGCUGGCCCAGAGGAUUGCAGCCCUCACCAAGGCUGAAGAACGGCAUGGCAAUAUUGAGGAGCACCUGCGGCAGCUGGAGGGCCAGCUGGAGGAGAAGAACCAGGAGCUGGCAAGGGUGCGCCAGCGGGAGAAGAUGAACGAGGACCAUAACAAGCGGCUGUCUGACACCGUGGACCGGCUGCUGAGUGAGUCAAACGAGCGGCUGCAGCUCCACCUCAAGGAGCGCAUGGCGGCCCUGGAGGAAAAGAAUACGCUGAUCCAGGAGCUGGAGAGCUCCCAGCGGCAGAUUGAGGAGCAGCACCAUCACAAGGGCCGCCUAUCCGAAGAGAUUGAGAAGCUGCGCCAAGAGGUGGACCAUCUGAAGGGUCGAGGGGGGCCGUUUGUGGAUGGCGUCCACUCCAGGUCACACAUGGGCAGCACAGCGGACGUGCGGCUCUCUCUGAGCACAGCCACCCAUGCGCCCCCAGGUCUGCAUCGCCGCUACUCAGCACUACGGGAGGAGUCUGCCAAGGACUGGGAGCCAUCUCCGCUGCCUGGGGUGGUGGCCCCCGCGGCCGCCCCUUCCUUUGACAGUGACCCUGAGAUCUCCGAUGUGGAUGAGGAUGAGCCAAGGGGUCUGGUGGGCUCCAUGGAUGUUGUCUCCCCCAGUGGCCACUCAGAUGCCCAGACGCUGGCCAUGAUGCUGCAGGAGCAGCUGGAUGCAAUCAACGCGGAGAUCAGGAUGAUCCAGGAGGAGAAGGAGUCCACGGAGCUCCGAGCUGAGGAGAUCGAGACGCGGGUGACCAGCGGCAGCAUGGAGGCCCUGAACUUGACCCAGCUGCGUAAACGUGGUUCCAUCCCCACCUCUCUGACCGCCCUGUCCCUGGCCAGCGCAUCCCCUCCCCUCAGUGGCCGCUCCACACCUAAGCUUACCUCCCGCAGUGCUGCCCAGGACCUGGACCGGAUGGGGGUCAUGACCCUGCCCAGUGACUUAAGAAAGCAUAGGAGGAAGCUGCUGUCGCCAGUGUCUCGGGAAGAGAACCGAGAGGAUAAAGCCACCAUAAAAUGUGAGACUUCUCCUCCUUCCUCACCCAGGACGCUGCGGCUGGAGAAGCUUGGCCACCCAGCCCUGAGCCAGGAAGAAGGCAAGAGUGCUCUGGAGGAUCAGGGCAGCAACCCCAGCAGCAGCAGCAGCAGCCAGGACUCCUUGCACAAGGGCGCCAAGCGUAAGGGCAUCAAGUCGUCCAUCGGCCGCCUGUUCGGGAAGAAGGAGAAGGGCCGGCUGAUCCAGCUGAGCCGGGAUGGAGCCACGGGACACGUGCUCCUAACAGACUCCGAGCUCGGUGUGCAGGAGCCUAUGGUGCCUGCCAAGCUGGGGACCCAGGCAGAGAAGGACCGGCGGCUGAAGAAGAAACACCAGCUGCUUGAAGAUGCCCGCAGAAAAGGAACACCCUUUGCCCAGUGGGACGGCCCCACUGUGGUCUCCUGGCUGGAGCUCUGGGUGGGGAUGCCUGCCUGGUACGUGGCUGCCUGCCGGGCCAACGUCAAGAGCGGUGCCAUUAUGUCGGCCCUGUCGGACACAGAGAUCCAGCGGGAGAUCGGCAUCAGCAAUGCCCUGCACCGGCUCAAGCUGCGGCUGGCCAUCCAGGAGAUGGUGUCACUGACCAGCCCCUCGGCCCCGCCCACCUCCAGGACUUCUUCUGGGAACGUCUGGGUCACCCAUGAAGAAAUGGAAACUCUGGCCACAUCCAUGAAGACAGACAGUGAGGAGGGCAGCUGGGCUCAGACGCUGGCCUACGGCGACAUGAACCACGAGUGGAUCGGGAACGAGUGGCUGCCCAGCCUGGGGCUCCCGCAGUAUCGCAGCUACUUCAUGGAGUGCCUGGUGGACGCGCGCAUGCUGGACCACCUCACCAAGAAGGACCUGCGCGUCCACCUGAAGAUGGUGGACAGCUUCCACCGAACCAGUCUUCAGUAUGGCAUCAUGUGUCUGAAGAGGCUGAAUUAUGACCGGAAGGAGCUGGAGAAGAGGCGGGAGGAGAGCCAGCGUGAGAUCAAGGAUGUGCUGGUCUGGACCAACGACCAGGUGGUCCACUGGGUCCAGUCUAUUGGGCUUCGGGAGUACGCAGGAAGCCUGCACGAGAGCGGCGUGCAUGGUGCCCUGCUGGCCCUGGACGAGAACUUCGACCAUAACACGCUGGCCCUGCUCCUCCAGAUCCCCACGCAGAACACCCAGGCACGCCAGGUGAUGGAGAGAGAGUUCAACAACCUGCUGGCCUUGGGCACAGACCGGAAGCUGGACGACCACCUUCCAGCUCUGUCUCUGAACCUACCAACCACGCAGGAUUGGAGGGAGGUUCCCCCGAAAGCCGCCUCUGGGGUCAGAUCUUGUCUUCACCUCUCGGACCCCACUUCAGGGCUGUCCGCACAGCCGUCUCCUGCCUGCCCAUCGGUUCCGUCUUGUAGUAACGUGGCUGUUUGCACAUGGGCAUCAUGCAUUGUUGCUGAAUCGCAUUUGCUCCCCUGGCCCUCAGUGCAGCUGGACGUGGCCCCACACGGCUCAGGCCCUCACCCUCCAGCCUCCUCUCUAGUUCCUCUCCUGUGUCUGCCUUCACACCUAGCUGAGGUUUCCUCCCUCAGCCCCCUGGUCACUGAAGAAACAGUCCCUUCCGCUGGGUUUCGUCCGGCCUUGCCCUUGGGUUCACGCUGCGCUGUGUCCGGGAAGGCCCGACCUCCUGAGCCACGUGCUCACCUUAGAGCUGUGAGAGUGCACCUGCUUCCUGAGGACAGCCCUCCUCAGGCCCUGCCACGCCUCCCCUCCUCCCCCCUCCCCUUCCAUCUUCAGUUCGAUCUAUUUCUCAUCCCCAUUUUCUGUGCAACUUCCCUUUCUCCACACCCCUGCCCUCACCAAUGCCUCUGUUGAGAUGUCUGGGCCUCCUCAGGGGAGACCGGUAGUGUUACCUACGUGUCAGUUAGUCCCUUCUUAGUUGGUUGAACAGGGCUAAAUCCACCUCUGUGGGUGAGUGCCCAGCCUUGGUAGACAGGACACACUCUGGGACACAUGGAAUUUGUGGAGGGUAUUUUCUUUACAGAGGUACCUUGAGAUGUGGAGUGUGUCUUCCAGUCAAAGAGAUAAGCUGCCAGAUCCCGCCAGCUGUCCCCACUCAGAGAUCCUAAUUCCCCAGUGCCCUGCAGUGUGGACCCUCCACGUACUCCCACACCUAGGACCAUAGCUUUCUUUGUGCAGCUAGGAGAGACAAGCCCAUACAUCUUUGUGUGGUGCUUUCUCAUUUGGUAAGCUGUUCAUUCCUUCAGUCCUUACCAAAUAUUCCUUGAGUGCCAAUGCUGGGCAGUCACUGGGCCAGGCGCGGUGCUGCAGUGCUGGCAGCCCUGUCCCUUGUGCUGACUGUCGCCGUGUGACACAGGUUGCGAUCCCACCGGACAGAUGAGUCAGGUGCAGAGGGGUAACUUCCCUGCUGUCGCGGGCUUACGUGUGGCAGAGUGGGCCUGGAGCCCACAUGUGUCUGGUUCCUGUGCACUUUCCCCUGAUUCCUGUGGCCUCCCAGAAGCACGUGGGACUGGCUGGCCUCCCAGGCCUCAGACGUUGGGUGGAGUUAUUGAGUCGUAAUGUCAUGGAUGCAGCUAGGUGUGGUGCUGGAGAGGACUGGUUCUUGCAGGAAGCUUAAAGUAGCAGGCCAGAUCUUGGCAAUAAAGUGAAAUUUGGUAGUAGAGGGGCAGUCGGAGAUCCAAGGAGACUGCCUCCUGUGCAGCCGUCUAGCCAUCAUCGGCAACCUUGAACUGUCUCUUGCGACUCCUCCCUCUGCCACAUCUGGUUCUUGGUUUCCCCUCUCAAGUUUCAAGGCCCUGGAGGGCUGCAUCCAGUUCCCCCACAUGGAGAGCCCGACUCCAGGGAAGUGAGGAGGUGGGGAGCAGGAAGAACAUCUGACUGUUGGGAACAGGCGAGGAAUAGAGAAACAAGCCCUUCAGAUUUGCCUGAGGUGGAAAUGGAGACAGAGAAAGAGAGAGAGAGAAAGGGUAGGAUGCUGGGCUUGGCCGAGGGCAGGAUCACGGGAAGACAGCAGUGAUGAGGAAAGUUGCUGAUCGACUCAAGGAGGGAGCCAGCUGCCAGCUCUUCACUGAACAAGGUUUACUGAGCGCUGGGUUCCUGGGGCUGCUCAGGGCCUGCGAUACAUUGGUUGGAGCAAAAAAGGUCAUGGUCUCUGUCCUCUGGAUCAUAGAAUUUGAAAAAGAGAGAGACUGGGGUGGGGAGAUGGAGAGAGAGAUUAAUGAAAUAAUCUCAUAAGGACAUGUGAAAUCGCUGCUAGGACAGAGGUGCGUCGUGCCCAGAAGUGAUGGGGGCGUUUGGCCUGCUCAGGGCCCAGGUGGCAGGCCCUGGGAGUGGGCAGGCACUGGUGGUGUGUCCUGGUUCCUGCUGGCUGCCCUGGGCCUGCUCCAGUUCCCAGAACACGGGGAGGGAGAUGAGGUGUGGCAUCUGUGGGGUGGAUGUGGGCUGGAAGAGGAGUGGGGAGGCCUGUGCAGAGGGGCGUCUGUAGAGUGAGGGCUCUGGUGCCCUUUGGCAGAGACGGUUCUUUGGAGACUUUGCUGGCAGGGGGCUGCCCACUGCAUCCUUUGGAGGAGCCUGCCUCUGAUUGGCUAUCUGCCUGACCCUUCACUGUCACAGGUGUUCUCACCUGAUCCCGUUGGGAACAGGCAGCCUGUGAAGUGGGCAGGGCAGAUGUUACUCCUCUUUACAGAUAAGGAAACUGAAGCUCAGAGAGGUCACGUCACCUGCCCGGGAUCACAUAGCCAGUAAGAUGGCAGAGCCGUAACUGAAAGCCUGGUCUCCUGACCCAGGCUCUUCCAGCAGGCGGGGCUGCAGCCACACUGAGGCCGCAGAAGACGGGUGGAUGGGAGCUGGCUGGUGACCACUCGCAUGGGAGGAGGCUGAGAAGAGGAAUCCUGGGAAGGGCGAGGACAAGGUGUUCCGCCGCGCGCCCUCCUGGAGGAAGCGCUUCCGGCCGCGGGACCCUCCGGGCGGCGAGACGGUCCCCGCCGGCUUCCGCGUGUCCGCGCUCGGGCCGCAGCCGCCGCCGGCGCUGCCCAGGAAGG